CUGAGUGUAUCGCUCGCCUGCUGAACCCCUGCGAGGGACCCGCACCCCUACUACUCAGAACUCUGUGUGGUCCCUGGGUGCCGACUCCCCAGCACUGCAGACGACAGCUAAUACCCAAAUUGGGCAACUUUGCCCUGAAGGCAACAAAGAUGUAUUAAGAGUCUGCUGGAAGGAGGAAUAAAGAUUAAGAAGGACAGUGGCACCCUGCAGCCUGCGCCUUAGGAGGGGGUGGGAAAGGGAUGGGAGGGUGUGAGAGAUGGAAAUUACUUUAAGGAGGGAAAGGGGAGGCAGGAGUCCAUCUGAGUCCUCAGGAGAAUGGUGACAAAAUAGGGUGGGAGAGUAGUUGAGCCUAGUGGGUAAGCUUCCAGUGAUAUUGGGGAGGCUCCGAAAGGACAAGAUAUGGAAACAGAAGGUGAGAUGAACAUUCAGAAGAUUUUCUUGAGGCUAGUGUUUGUUUUUUUGUUCUUCUUUUUUCUUUUAUUUAUUUAUUUUAAGAUGGAGUCUCGCUCUUUCGCCCAGGCUGGAGUGCAGUAGCGUGAUCUUGGCUCACUGCAAUCUCCGCCUCCUGGGUUCAAGCGAUUCUCCCAAGUAGCGUCAGGCGUAUGCCACCAUGCCCAGCUAAUUUUUGUAUUUUUGGUAGAGAUGGGGUUUCACCAUGUUGGCCAGGGUGGUCUCAAACUCCUGACUUCAGGUGAUCCACCUGCCUCGGCCUGCUGAAGUGCUGGGAUUUUUUUGUUCUUUACAUUUGUCCCUUCUAACAGAUUUUCUUAGUCAUUUUGUGCUCUUGUGAGCAUGUAGGUUCCAUGUGUCUUCACAACUAAUUGGAUUGAUUAUUUUUUUGGUGGUUUUUUAUUUAGUUGACAGGAGGUAUAGGUUAGGUUAUUUUAAACUAAUAGCACUGAAAACACAGUUGACAUUUUAGUAGUAACAUUGUUCUUUAAGAUGAAUGCUGAAGAGUGGAAAUUCAAUGAUAAGGGAACAAAAGUCCCAAUUAAACAUAGCUCAUAGCAAAUGGUGCCUUUGACUUUGUAGAAAGUCAUUUUGUAGACUUCCUAACCUGAAGCUUGGUUGGAUAUGAAAUGCAGUUCUAGGAGCCAUAUGUUGAUACGAA
rnacentral:lncRNA from 1 species